CUUACAUUUUGAUCUACAACCAUCCUAUGCCAAUAUGUCUUUUAUUUCAGUCCACAAACUGAUGGUUUUUUAAAUAUUUUACUUAUGGAGUGUCUUGUUCUGAAGUAGAGAUUGAUGUGCUUACAGGUGAAAGCCAAGUACUCCAAUCGAACUUGUAUGUGGAUUGUGGUAAAAGUUUAAAUCCUACAAUUGACAUCGGACAGAUUGAAGGCGCGUUUGUGCAGGGAUUAGGUAUGGUUACCUCGGAGAAUAUGGAGAUAGAUGAAAAGGGUUGUCUGAACACCUGUAGUCCACUCGGCUACAAAAUACCUAAUAUAAAAAGUAUUCCAAGAAAGUUUAUUGUGAAAUUGCUGAAAAAUCACGAUAUCGUUACAAAUAUCUAUUCUUCAAAGUCCGUUGGAGAACCGCCAUUUAUAUUGUCAUUGUCAGUCCUAGCUGCAAUAAAAGAAGCCAUACAUUCUGCGCGUGCGCAGAUCGGUAUAACUGGAUACUUCAGGCUUGAUUGCCCAGCAACAGUACAGAGAAUUCAGGAAGCUUGCGGUCAACAAAUCAAAAUUAUAACUGAAGAGAAAUAGUUGGUUGAAUUGAUUCAUUUGGUUAUAUGUUUGAAUGACGAUAUGAUUGAGAUAGUAACAAUAUUAUACUCACGAAAAUAGUCUAACAGAUAUCUUAUAUUAUUGUCAUGUGUACCAGUAUAAUCUUAAUGAUCAGCAAGAAUAUUCAGUUUUAUUUUCUCUACCUCACUUUUCUAUAUAUAAAAAUAUAUAUCCAAGAAACCUCUUAAGAUUAUUUUUAUUUUUUGCUCCGUGUCAAGGAAUUUAGAAGCAGGCAUUGUUAUAAUUAUCUUUUUCUAUCUCACUUUUUCGUUUAUAUUGUUAUGAAAAAGAUGCCUGCAUAUAUUAGUAAUUGACCGACUAUCUGUAUCUGAAUAGCAUUAGAAUUAACAUUAAAAUGAAACCUUA